rnacentral:rRNA from 1 species
AGCUCCAAUAGCGUAUAUUAAAGUUGUUGUGGUUAAAAAGCUCGUAGUUGGAUCUCGGCGGUCUGAGGGCGGUUCGCUUGAUUGAGUGCUACUGCUCUAUAGGCCGUGGUUUUGCCAGAGGUCUCGGGGUGCUCUUAACCGAGUGUCCUGCGAUGCUGGCAGGUUUACUUUGAAAAAAUUAGAGUGCUCAAAGCAGGCUUUUACGCCUGAAUAUUCGUGCAUGGAAUAAUAGAAUAGGAAGUCGUUUCUAUUUUGUUGGUUUUCGGAAAUCGACUUAAUGAUUAAUAGGGACAGUCGGGGGCAUUUGUAUUCAAACGACAGAGGUGAAAUUCUUGGACCGUUUGAAGACAAACUACUGCGAAAGCAUUUGCCAAGAAUGUUUUCAUUAAUCAAGAACGAA